CAUUUCCCUGGGGCUGGGGCUCCAGGGCUGGAGUGGGAAGAAAAAAAAAAGAGAGAAAGGGAGGGAGAAAGAGAGAAGGGGUACAGGGAGGAGCACAUCCCCUCAUCCCCUGAAGCCUUUUCAUCUAAAGACAACUGGCCCAGCCCCAGCCCGACGGCCCUCAGUACCUGGCAUGUUGUCACGUGAAAUGCUGAUAACAAGGUCUCUGGGGGCAUCUGCAACAAGAUUGUGAGCUGGCUUCAGGGAGAGACAAUUUGUUCCUCACACCUGGAAAAAACUCCCUCAGGGAAAAGAAAGUGGGACUAUCCCGGGAAGACAAGUGACAACCAGCGCCAGGGCUCACGUGUGUGGACCAGACGCCAUUCCCAUCCCUCUCCCAGGGCUGAGCCGGCAUCCUGGGACCCCACAGCUUCCUCUCCCUGGAUGCUCCUGAGCUGGGAGCCGCUCACUGUCCCGCUGGGCUCCUCCACCUCCCCACCCACCGGGGCUGUCUGCACGCCCCACCCUCCCAGGCCACACUCACAGGCCACACGGAGUCGGACGGUCCUCUGUGCGCUCACACCCUUUCUGGAGAAGUCCACAUGGCAGCUUCCUCUCUCCACCCGAAAGAAGUACUGUGACUCAUCCUGCAUCUGCGCGUCUCUGAUCACCAAGGAGCAGUUCCCCUUGGCGGGAUCCCCAGUGAGCUGGAAUCGGCCCCGGGUGCUCAUUUCCACCUCUCGACUCUGGUGGUUUGUGGCCACAGGAGCACCCUUGGUUGUCUCAGUCACUGCUUUGAACCAGUAGCCAUAAGCUGGGGUAGACCCUGUCCAGUCCUGUCGGGGGUAGGAGAAAGAGCAGGGCACAGAGAUGCACAGGCCCUCCGGCACCAUCACCGACUCCUGCACUCGUAUCCAGAAUCUCCCAUCCAUAGCCUGGGACCCUGUGGGGAGACAGAGGCUCAACCUGCAACCCCAGCCUUAGCUCCGCCCCAGGUCCUUUCCGGCCCUUGGCCCACUCACCGCCCAGCAGCGAGGACAGCAGCAGUGGCAGUAGCAUCUCCGCAUAGGAGGCGCAGGACCUGCCUGAGACAGGCCUGUUCUCUGGUCGUGCUGUGAGUGGCUCAGGGCUCUUGGCAGAAGGGGAAGCCGAAGGCGGAAGCUGAGCCCUGGGGCCUGAUGCAUGAAAUGAACUUCAGACGCUGAGCUCACAGAACUCCUUUGCCUUCCCCCACACUCUCCAGCCCACCUUGCCCAGUUGUCCUCUGGGUCUCCUGGGGGCCCAGCCUGGCCUUGGGCUUGUUGAGCUGGUCCUUCCAGAGCUCCCUGUGUAGGAGGAGAGGGCAGGCUUGUGUCUAUCCUGGGGGCCUGGCUGGGGGUGGGGUAGUGGGGUGGGGGCUCUCCCUCUGGGCCCUGGGUCAUCGGAAAAGCAGAAGUGAGAAGUCCACAGUGAGCUGCCCUUAUCUGGGCCACUGGUGGAGGUGGUGGGUACAGGGGAAAGGACCGUUACUGGAGGGGGCUGGUCUUGUCAGGUAAAAUGCAGGAUGCCUGGUUAAAGCUUUCACAGAAAAUAUAAAGUAUUUUAUUUUAUGUUUUUUGGUAUAAGUAUGUCCGAAAUGCUGCAUGGGAUAUACUUAUACCAGAAAGCAAAAUAAAUUUAUCUGAAAUUCAAA